GACGAACGCUGGCGGCGUGCUUAACACAUGCAAGUCGAACGGUGAAGGGGUCUGCUUUUGUGGGCCCUGGAUGAGUGGCGAACGGGUGAGUAACACGUGAGUAACCUGCCCCCUUCUUCUGGAUAACCGCAUGAAAGUGUGGCUAAUACGGGAUAUUCUGGGUCUGUCGCAUGAUGGGUCUGGGAAAGAUUGCGCCUUUGGGUGUUUUUGGUGGGGGAUGGGCUCGCGGCCUAUCAGCUUGUUGGUGGGGUGAUGGCCUACCAAGGCGGUGACGGGUAGCCGGCCUGAGAGGGUGGACGGUCACACUGGGACUGAGACACGGCCCAGACUCCUACGGGAGGCAGCAGUGGGGAAUAUUGCACAAGGGGCGCAAGCCUGAUGCAGCGACGCCGCGUGAGGGAUGGAGGCCUUCGGGUUGUAAACCUCUUUCGCCAGUGAAGCAGGCCUGCUCCUUGUGGGUGGGUUGACGGUAGCUGGAUAAGAAGCGCCGGCUAACUACGUG
rnacentral:rRNA from 1 species